ACGCUGGCGGCGUGCCUAAUACAUGCAAGUCGAACGGCUUUUCUAUGGAAGCUUGCUUCCACUGAGAAGAUAGUGGCGAACGGGUGAGUAACACGUGGGUAACCUGCCCAUAAGAGGGGGAUAACAUCCGGAAACGGGUGCUAAUACCGCAUAGUUUUUCUUGAUUGCAUGAUUGAGAAAGGAAAGACGGCCUUUGUGCUGUCGCUUAUGGAUGGACCCGCGGCGUAUUAGUUAGUUGGUGAGGUAACGGCUCACCAAGACGAUGAUACGUAGCCGACCUGAGAGGGUGAUCGGCCACAUUGGGACUGAGACACGGCCCAAACUCCUACGGGAGGCAGCAGUAGGGAAUCUUCCGCAAUGGACGAAAGUCUGACGGAGCAACGCCGCGUGAGUGAAGAAGGUUUUUCCGGAUCGUAAAACUCUGUUGUCAGAGAAGAACAAGUUGGAGAGUAACUGCUCCAGCCUUGACGGUAUCUGACCAGAAAGCCACGGCUAACUACGUGCCAGCAGCUGC
rnacentral:rRNA from 1 species